rnacentral:pre_miRNA from 1 species
AGUGAGAUAGCUGGGCCAAAUGGUGGUUCCAUUCCAAGGUUUCUGAAGAAUCUCUUUACUGCUUUCCAGAUUGGUUAUACCAAUUUGUAGUCCCACAAGCAAU